AAUAUUGGACAAUGGGGGCAACCCUGCUCCAGCCAUGCCGCCUGCGUGGAGAAGGUCUUCGUAUUGUAAAGCACUUUAAGUUGGGAGGAAGGGCUUUAGGUUAAUACCCUGAAGUUUUGACGUUACCAACAGAAUAAGCACCGGCUACCUCUCUGCCACCAGCCGCGGUAAUACAGAGGGUGCAAGCGUUAAUCGGAAUUACUGGGCGUAAAGGGCGCGUAGGUGGUUCAGUAAGAUGGGUGUGAAAUCCCCGGGCUUAACCGGGGAACUGCUUUCAUAACUGCUGGGCUAGAGUACGGUAGAGGGUAGUGGAAUUUCCAGUGUAGCGGUGAAAUGCGUAGAUAUAGGAAGGAACACCAGUGGCGAAGGCGACUACCUGGACUGAUUCUGACACUGAGGUGCGAAAGCGUGGGGAGCAAA
rnacentral:rRNA from 1 species